ACUGUAGGUUGACAUUUCAUGCAUCCAAGGUUUAUGAGAGCACUAAAUUUUGUUUCAAAAUAUCCUUUCCUUAGUUACCUACCUGCGUCUCUCUCAAGUAACAAUAAUGCAGAGGGUUGAAUAUGAUUUCUUACAAACUGAAAAUUCAACAGUCCAAUUGUGUAAUAAAGAGUUAAAAACAGAAGUAUAUAAGAAAAAAGAUGAAUAUCCUUUUAAAAAUUCCUUUCAUCAGUAACAUAUGGCACCUUGGCCUACAGAACCGAAAGAUAUCCUUGGCGUCUUGUCCGAUCCGAAGUUGAACUUCAAGUCAGAUACAUCAUCAUGUUUGGGGACGCUGCUUGUUGAAGGGAAAGAAAAAACGAGGGCUGGAGUAGACCCCCUUGAGCCAAAUUUGUAUGAAGGGAUUGAUGACCCCUCGUUCUGUUGAUGCAGACCAAUGGAUGAGGAUGAUGGCAUGAUAGAGGGCGUCGGUGGCUCAGAAGAUACCCCAGAAGAUGCAGAAACUGGGAAAGUAAAUCCUGAGCUAUUAUCAGAAGAAAAUGUCCACCUUUGGUUAGGCUUAUCAAUGUUGAUAGAAGGCAACACUGGUUUUGUACCGGAAGAUUGAGGUGGAAGUUUCUUUUGAAAACUGAAUACCUCAGAACCAGCAGCAUUCGGCAGAACCUUUGAAUUUGAAACAUCCUCAUGUGCACUCAGGUGUUGAGAAUCCCGGAGUUUUCUGAAAUCUUGUGAAUGACCUGCAUAAUCACCAUCUGUUGAAGCUGUACCAACUUUCAUUUUUGAAACUGAAUUGUUAUUAUUUAUACCAACAUUAACCCCAUUAACAGACUCCUGAGGAUUACUUUUGUGAACUUGAAUGGAUUUUUCAGAAGAAUCAAAACCUCCCCAUUGAGUUGGGCUAUUACGUUUGUUGGGCAUGAUAUUUGCUAGAUCAGAGGACAGGGGUUUCUUCCAUGAAGUGGCUAGCCUCAACUCAGCAGAUUUAUCUUUAGGGGUGGGUGGAUUUCUCUCAAGGUGCUCUAAUAUUUUCCGGGCUACCAGACUAGAAUGUGCAGGAGCAGUUGGGACACUGACUUCAGAGCUUUGUGGCUGACUGCUUACAGACUGAAAUUUUGCAGAGCUAAUUUUUCCUCCAUUUUCCAAAUUUGUCUUUGGCGUGGAAAAUAAGCCUUCUGAAAUACUUAAGUUUUCCACCUGAGGACUAUUGAAAGAUGUAUGAAAAUAAUCAGAUCCUCUAGGAGUUUCUGCAAUUACUUUAUGCCGUAAUCUGCGAAUGGGCCCCACAGAUCCUUGGCCAUCAUUUAAAGCAUUGCCUCUUGAAUUUACCUGUCCAAAUGGAGUUUGAGCCUGCUGAAAGGGAGUAGCCAUCAUAUUUGGACGUCUAUCGCUAUUGCUCUGUAACUGAAUCAAUUUGGACUUAGUCUUUGAAUAAAUAGUUCUGGAAUAAGGGGUUCGGGGGAAAUUGUGAAGCCCAAAUCUCCCUCUUUGACUUUGUGGGGUUAUAUACCCACGCUGAUCCUGUACCAAGGCACCUGGCCAGCAUGGAGAUGACUUAGGGACAGGUGAUGGAAUAAAGGGUUUUAGUGCAAGCUCAUCACUGCUUGGUAUUGUCCCUUCAUCUUUUGAAACGAAGCUGUUAGUACCAAAGCCUACUUCUGAUGUUCGAUUUUCCAUAUAUGCUCUCGCAAUUUCAACUGGUGAAGUACCAACAUCAUCUUGUAGCUGUGCUUUUGACUGCAGAAGAGGGGUUGAGCUUUUCCAAAUAACUCUAUCCAAAUCUUCAUGAUUUUCUUCAAUGGACCUUGAAUUUUCAAGGCCAUUUGCAGGCUUUCGAGCAUCUACUGAAAUUGCACUUGAGUAUUUUCUUUCUUUAAUUUUUGAGGUUUCCCCAAUAGCUCUAUUCAAAUCUUCUUGCUUUUCUUCAGCUGACUUCCAAGAAAAUUCAAGGGCAACUUUAGACCCUCUAAGAUCUCCCACAGUUGUACUUAAACAUUUAUUUUCUUGCUCAACGUCAGGAAGAUCAACAGCCUUUGACUUUAUUAUCUCCAUUAGAUGGUUAAUUUCAUCCCUAGAAAAUCUCUUAUCUUUCAUUAGUUGCUCAAUUUCAGACAGCCCAUUAGGAUCAGAAACAUCAGCAUUUUGGUUUUGUUUGUGCCCAUUAAAUUCAGAUUCGCUAUUUGAUCUAUUGACUACAUGGCUACUACCAGCUACUCCAGUUGCUUUUGAUUCCAAAUUAUUCCAAGUGAAAUUGACGUCAUCGCCGCUAGCACUUUGUUCCACCUCGGUGUGCGAGUCAUCGUCUCGGCCGCUAGGAGAAGGGAGCGCAUUGACGGAUUGCGAUUUGGAGAAGAAAGAAGGGAAGAUUAGGGUGGCGCCGCCAGCUAUAAGACGGAAAGCAGGAUCCACGAGCUUGGAGAGCCAACGGCCGCGCUGCUCCUGGUUCUGCGGCGGGCGAGCGUAAGGUGUGGCCGGUGGCCUCCACGACGGCGGUUUCCUGAACUUCCCGCCUGCACCUCUCUGCUCAGUUGCAAGGGGUGCAAACGACGUCGUUUCUGGGUCUCUCUUCUCCAUAUGUUGCAGCUUCAGAGCCCCAGUCACAGACUAUUGACCACGCACAAGCACAGAAGACACAUGCACGCAGAAAAGCGCGCUUUUUGACCUUUAUUGGUUUCAGGUUUUGGCU
rnacentral:misc_RNA from 1 species